ACUCAAAUGAAUUGACGGGGGCCCGCACAAGCGGCGGAGCGUGCGGUUUAAUUCGAAGCGACGCGAAGAACCUUACCAGGGUUUGACAUGUCCCUGCAGGACCGGGAAACCGGGAGGCCUUCGAGGGUGGGACACAGGUGCUGCAUGGCUGUCGUCAGCUCGUGCCGUGAGGUGUUGGGUUAAGUCCCGCAACGAGCGCAACCCCCGUGGCUAGUUACGAUGUCUAGCCAGACAGCCCCGCAAGGGGAGGAAGGAGGGGAUGACGUCAAGUCAGCAUGGCCCUUACAUCCUGGGCGACACGCACGCUACAAUGGCCGGGACAGAGGGCAGCCAAGCCGUGAGGUGGAGCGAAUCCCAGAAACCCGGUCCCAGUUCAGAUUGUGGGCUGCAACCCGCCCACAUGAAGGUGGAGUCGCUAGUAACCGCAGGUCAGCAGUACUGCGGUGAAUAUGUUCCCGGGCCUUGUACACACCGCCCGU
rnacentral:rRNA from 1 species